rnacentral:rRNA from 1 species
AUUGAACGCUGGCGGCAUGCCUUACACAUGCAAGUCGAACGGUAACAGGUCUUCGGAUGCUGACGAGUGGCGAACGGGUGAGUAAUGCAUCGGAACGUGCCCAGUAGUGGGGGAUAGCCCGGCGAAAGCCGGAUUAAUACCGCAUACGACCUGAGGGUGAAAGGGGGGGAUCGCAAGACCUCUCGCUAUUGGAGCGGCCGAUGUCAGAUUAGCUAGUUGGGGGGGUAAAGGCCUACCAAGGCAACGAUCUGUAGUUGGUCUGAGAGGACGACCAGCCACACUGGGACUGAGACACGGCCCAGACUCCUACGGGAGGCAGCAGUGGGGAAUUUUGGACAAUGGGCGCAAGCCUGAUUCAGCAAUGCCGCGUGCAGGAAGAAGGCCUUCGGGUUGUAAACUGCUUUUGUCAGGGAAGAAAUCUUCUGGGUUAAUACCUCGGGAGGAUGACGGUACCUGAAGAAUAAGCACCGGCUAACUACGUGCCAGCCGCCGCCGUAACAC